rnacentral:rRNA from 1 species
CCUGGCGGCAGCCUAAUCAUGCGAGUCGAACGGCUCUUCGGAGCAGUGGCGGACGGGUGAGUAACGCGUGGGAACGUGCCCUUUGGUUCGGAACAACACAGGGAAACUUGUGCUAAUACCGAAUGUGCCCUUCGGGGGAAAGAUUUAUCGCCAUUGGAGCGGCCCGCGUUGGAUUAGCUAGUUGGUGGGGUAAUGGCCCACCAAGGCUACGAUCCAUAGCUGGUCUGAGAGGAUGAUCAGCCACACUGGGACUGAGACACGGCCCAGACUCCUACGGGAGGCAGCAGUAGGGAAUCUUGCGCAAUGGGCGAAAGCCUGACGCAGCCAUGCCGCGUGAAUGAUGAAGGUCUUAGGAUUGUAAAAUUCUUUCACCGGGGAAGAUAAUGACGGUACCCGGAGAAGAAGCCCCGGCUAACUUCGUGCCAGCAGCCGCGGUAAU